rnacentral:rRNA from 1 species
UACGGAGGGUGCAAGCGUUAUCCGGAUUUAUUGGGUUUAAAGGGUGCGUAGGCGGGUUAUUAAGUCAGUGGUGAAAGCCUGCAGCUUAACUGCAGAACUGCCAUUGAUACUGAUGAUCUUGAGUAUGAUUGAGGUGGGCGGAAUGUGUCAUGUAGCGGUGAAAUGCUUAGAUAUGACACAGAACACCGAUUGCGAAGGCAGCUCACUAAGCCAUAACUGACGCUGAUGCACGAAAGCGUGGGGAGCAAACAGG